CUUACAGGGAAGCUCUCCUUCGAGGUCUGAAACUGACAGGUUUCUCUCUUGAAUGUUUGAAUUCUACGCUAGCUUCAUUCAGAGGCUUGUCUCUUAAAGAACUGAACUGUACUCUGAGGCAGGAGGAGAAAGAAAUAUAUGGGAGCUGACAUUAAGGGGGUGAGUAAUUUAAUUUUCCACCUGAUUCCAUCCUGAACCCGGUUGAGGGGGCAGAGGGAGAGGAGAAAAGUCAGGGAAAGCAGCUAGCGGAGAUCUCAAAGAGCCUAGGCCCACAGCUCCUAUAAAGGGCCUCAGGAGCUGAAAAUAUGGUCACUCCACAUUGAAACUAAUGAGAAGGGACAGGUUUCUAAACUCCUUCUGCUUACUCCUCUUCCAAGUAAUCCACUUAAACCUGGAGUAUAGGUUCUUCAGUCAUUUUUUUCUACGUUUAAAUUAUCCCUUCCUAUUGGCUCCUUUUUGUUCUGUAAUAUUUCUUAAGAUGUUUCUCAAAAUUUUUCUGGAACAGAGCCCAACAAGGUGCCAGCAUACAUUAGGCGUUCAAUAGAGAUGGGCUGAGUGAAUGAAUACCUUUUCCUGUUGGUAAAAACUGGAAGCUUUGGCCAGGACCUAUGCUGAGAUUUUAAGAUAUUUCAAGGUUUAAGAGUUCUCAGCUAAGUUCAUGAGGCGCAUAUGUCCACUAAUUUUUAGGAAUCUAAUUUUCUACUAGUUAUCAAAAAAUGGCUCAUGACCCAUGAGAUUAUUAAGAUAUUCUAACUCUGUGGUUUAAGAGAUGAAAGGAAGGUAUUCAGAAACUAUACGAAGUCCAAGAUGGAAUUAAUUGUACAAGGACAUGUAUAAGAGGCAUAUCAAAUGAGGAAAGCAAUUAAAAAAUACUUUCAAAGUGACUAUUCACUCUGUGACAAAGAACCAUUCCCACAUCAAGAAAUUUACUUCUUAAAGAUAAUAGGUUAAAAAAAUACUUUGCAUUGAUAAUGUUACUGGCAGAAUGUUGAGAUGCCUUAUAUCAGCUGCAGAAAAGUAUCUUCAAGUUGUUAUUACAAUUUAAUAAAAUAAUUAAAUAUCAUGCAGUGUUUGAAUGUGAAACGUACAAAUAAAAAUUAAGAACCUUAAGGAGACUGAACAACAACAACAAAGGGAAAAAUAUCCUGAAAUUUAUCACCUUCAUUAUCCUUCAUCUUCUCAAAAUGAAAAGUCUGUUGGAAUUUUCAGUUAACAAUUUUUUUUGAAACCUGAAUUCUUUUUGUCCAAUUCUUUGUGUAUUUUUAAACUUAUUUUCGAGGUCUACCCUUAAAUGUAAAAUAGUGAAACGAAUACAGAGUUUGGAAGUACAUCAUUUGUGAAGCUAGCAGAAUCCUAAGUCAAUGCAAGACCUAGAGAGAGUCCCAGUGCUUGCAGGUACAUGUAGAAAUGGUGUUCCAAGCUGUUUUUCAAUAGCUCUCCUGAUUUGUAGAGAAUUCUAUGGUCUGAUACUGUUCUGGGAGGUGAGAAAUGAUGCAGUCAGUCUAGCAAGUCCCACCUUCUGGUCACAUCUCAGGCCUGUUCACAGCAGUGAAUGGGUCCUUUCAGGCAAAGUGGUUUGGGUGAAUAGAGUUAUUACUACCUUAUGCUGUCUGUACUCUGUGGUCUGAAUUCCUCUGGCCACUGCCCAGAGAAGCAUAACCUGGGUCUGAAUUAAUGCUCUGGAAGGAAAUAUAGUGGACUCAUAGUAGGGAAUAGCUAAUUAUUUCUUACCCCUCUAACCUGUAGCUACUAGCCAGGUCUGGAGUCUCCUAGGUACCUGCCCGUGGAUUUACAGGAGAUGAAUUUAGUGGAAGGAAGGAUAAUGCUAAAGAGCCAAAGGAUAGAGGGAAGCAGAAAGAGACCCACCUCACUACCUUCAAUUUCACAGGGAAUGACUUGUUUCCUACACCACCUUUCAACCAGUCCUUGCCAAUUGUUUAUAUGUAAAUACAAAUUGUAAUGGAAUGCGACAGUUUCCUAACAUAUAGGUCUUUCAUUUGGAGCACAAGUAUCUGUAUUACAUUUCCCAUCUUGUUACAUUUUUUUACAAAGUGGCAUUUGAAGAUAUUUGUUCAUUUUUGUAUAAUUUGCUCUGAUCGAAAGUCUUUCAAAAACAAGAGGAGAACAGUUUAGAGAAAAAAUAGUCACAUUAUUUGUAGCAGUAUUUUAGAUUGACCAUUUGGCCAUAUUGGCUUGUCUGGGAAACUGAAAGAAUAAUUUGAUAAUUGAUUAGAGGUAUAGUGGUAUAGUGCUGUGCUGUGUUUAGCCGCUCAGUCAUGUCCAACCCUUUGCGACCUCAUGGACUGUAGCCCGCCAAGCUCCUCUGUCUAUGGGGAUUCUUCAGGCAAGAAUACUGGAGUGGGUUGCCAUGCCCUCCUCCAGGGGAUCUUCCCAACCCAGGGAUCAAACCCAGGUCUCCCGCAUCGCAGGCAGAAUUUUUUACCAGCUGAACUACCGGAGAAGCCCCAGUAGCAUAGAUGGGGAACAUAAAUGUUCUAGACAAUCUUCAGAGUUCAUGGAGCUUUAUUAAACAUUGUGUGAUGCUGAUAAAUCUCCCUUAAUGUUGUCAAAAAUAGUCCUUAACAGAAACAGUAAUAGAGAACUCAAUUGUAAGACUUAAAUUACUAUGGGUAGAAUUAGGUGAAAGAAGUAGAUUUUUGAAAAGUUUCCUCAUCUUUGAAAUGAUUUGGCAUUCGUGAAAGAGAGAUGAUACAUAUAUGAACAAUUUCUCCAAACACACUAAAGCCAUUGUAUCUACUUAGACUUAGUGAAUGAGAAAUUAUUACGGGGGUGGGAAACUCUUGCACACAUCAGAAAUACUUAAUACAUUUAAAAGAAAAUCGUUGUUGAAUGUAAUCCCUCUCUCACUGUGCCUAAUGGUUUGUCUUUCUUGCACUUUUCUGAACUUUAGGUCAAUUAUUUUAAGAAAGAAAUGACUAAGCAGUUUGACAUUGAUUUUACAGUUGUUUUUCUCCUAAUACAUGAGUGGCUAAAAAUUAGUCUCUGUUUAAAAGUGGUGUCGGUUCCUCUUACCUCACAGAUGGGCCACUGUAUUGUAGAAAGUUGGGGGUGAGAGAGGGAUAGAAAAGUUUAUUUUCAUAGUCAGUCUAGCUCACAAUUACCCCACAGUGAUGACUGGAUAUUUUUCUGCACGUUUACUAUGAAAUAAUAUACAGAACUUGAGAGGAAUCUAAAUUUAGCACAAAUCCAUGAUGAAAGAGAAUCUUUAUAUGAAAAGUUUGCUCUAUUAGAGUGCUGAAGGAGUCAACUCAGAGAUGACAGACCCAUGCUGUUUAAAAGAAAAGUCAAAUCAAAUCUAAAUGAACCCCAAACCAGCAAGGACAAUUGCCUUGUACAAGCAUGUACAUCUGUCUUAAAAAUAUCCUGUGGUUAGCUAUGCUCACAGAAACUAUCAUGGUUCUGCUCACAGAAAACUAUCAUGGUUCUUUUUCAUAAUUAUCCAAAGAUAGAAGACAGGAAAAGAGAACAGAAUGAUUCAGGGUAAAACCUUAACUAUCUGUUGGACCUUUGUCAAGAUACUUUAUUCUCUGUAUCUUUUUUCUUCUUAAUUGAAUGGAUUUGGCAUUUACUAAGCUUCUGUGUCAGCAAAAAUUACACAAGACUUUCUACAGAGUGUUGCAGGAUAACAUCAAUAUCUCUUAUCAAUAGAAGUUGAAGAUGGUAUCUUAAACAUUUUAGUGAACUACAAACCAUGGCCAAAGGAAGUUACCACAUCAAGAAUAUAACCCAAUGAUGUUUCAUUGUAUAUGGUGUCCCAACUAUCAUUUGAGUAGUAAUUGUCUUGGCUGUUCCUAAUUGAUUCACAUUGGCUGUUCCUAAUAAAAUAAGGUGGCUGAAGAUUCUCAACGUUUAAUAAUCCUCCCAAUAUUAUAUGUUCUGCCAGUAUUAGUAUGGUAAAAUUAUUGCACAUUCAAAUGCUGGACAAACAAUAGAUCUUAUUUCAAAAUCCCACAAUCUAAUAUAUAAGUCUGGAAAAUCAUAUAUGGAUUUAAAUGGUUGCAAAACAAGCAGCGUUUACUAUGAAGAAAUACUUUUGAAAGCAAAAUACUACUGUCACUAAAAUACAAACAUUUUUAUUGAAAAUACUUAAUGCUUGCUGUUGUUGCUGUUAAUCUUCAUAACAUCUUCAUUAGGGAAAACCUUAACCUGUGUUCAAUGAUAUUAUGGAUUUCUCCCAUCCCUUUUGCUAAUAUUUGAUGAAGAAAUGGAAAGCAAGCUGUAAUCUGUGCUGGAGACCAGUAAGAGGACACGGUGUCUACUCAUGCAUGUGUAGUACAUCUGUGGCUGGAUCCACCAAUAUCACAAUUAACAUUUUUGGUGUGUAUUUAAAUUUAUUUAUUUUUUAUUGUAGGAUAAUGCUUUACAGAAUUUUGCUGUUUUCUGUCAAACCUCAAUGAAUCAGCCAUAGCUAUACAUAUAUCCCCUCUCUUUUGA